UACGAAGGGGGCUAGCGUUGCUCGGAAUCACUGGGCGUAAAGGGUGCGUAGGCGGGUUUUUAAGUCAGAGGUGAAAUCCUGGAGCUCAACUCCAGAACUGCCUUUGAUACUGAAAGUCUUGAGUAUGGGAGAGGUGAGUGGAACUGCGAGUGUAGAGGUGAAAUUCGUAGAUAUUCGGAGGAACACCAGUGGCGAAGGCGGCUCACUGGUCCGGUACUGACGCUGAGGUGCGAAAGCGUGGGGAGCAAACAGG
rnacentral:rRNA from 1 species